rnacentral:lncRNA from 1 species
CAUAUUGACUUAUAGGACAUACAUCUAACAAUCUUCCACUUAGAUUAAAGCUAAUUGGCCACAAAUCUAAGUCCCAUCUUCUCAAGAUGGACUUCCAUUUUCGGUUGGCUCAACUGCUUAGUCAGUGGAUCUGUCAUGUUGUCCGCAGAGUCUACUCUUUGCACCUCGACAUGUUUCUUUUCGAGGUAGUCAUGUAUAUUGCUACUCUAUGUGCUUGGACUUUUAGUGAGACCCUUAGCUUCUUAGCAAGGGCUAUAGUGUCAUUGUCUUUACAGUACUGUGUCAUGACUGAAGGAACUAGAUCC